rnacentral:rRNA from 1 species
GGCUUGGCGGGCGAGUGGCGAACGGGUGAGUAAUACAUCGGAANGUGCCCUGUCGUGGGGGAUAACUAGUCGAAAGAUUAGCUAAUACCGCAUACGACCUGAGGGUGAAAGCGGGGGACCGUAAGGCCUCGCGCGAUAGGAGCGGCCGAUGUCUGAUUAGCUAGUUGGUGGGGUAAANGCCUACCAAGGCGACGAUCAGUAGCUGGUCUGAGAGGACGAUCAGCCACACUGGGACUGAGACACGGCCCAGACUCCUACGGGAGGCAGCAGUGGGGAAUUUUGGACAAUGGGGGCAACCCUGAUCCAGCAAUGCCGCGUGUGUGAAGAAGGCCUUCGGGUUGUAAAGCACUUUUGUCCGGAAAGAAAUGGCCUGGGCUAAUACCCCGGGUUGAUGACGUUACCGGNAGAAUAA